rnacentral:tRNA from 1 species
UGGCUCAGAUGGUAAAGUGUCUGCCUGCAAUGCGGGAGACCCAGGUUUGAUUCCUGG